AGGCUGAUGUAAUAACAAUGAUUUCAUGGUGUUGGGAGUAAGAAUUGGAGAUCUGAUACUGCUAACAUGUUGGUUAGCAUCACAGCUUGUCCAUAGGGAUACUGGCUGGGGUAGCAUUUGGAUCUGUUUCAAGAUGAGAAUAUAUUUAUUCAUCCACAUACAAAUUUAAUCAAUUGAUGAAAUCUUGUGGACAGUUUAACUUUCUAUAAAUCUUUAUUGUUUGCAAUUUAUAUCUCUUGAUAUUUUCUACUGUUACCUUAAUAGAUGUAAACAGAUAUUUUUAUAGUUGAGAAGGUUUAUAGUCCUUUUUAACUACUUUCACUUAUUCCAUCUUUAAACUUUUGCCAAAUGACCAUGUACUGAAUCAUAAAGAGAAUCAUUGUUUUUAUGAUAAUAAAGAAUUUUGUUUACUUGUAAAGGGGAGAUACCCUCACAUUCAUUUGCAAGUGCUGUUACAAAGAUAAGAUGUCUUAAUUAUAUUAAACUUUGCUUCUUAUUCAGUUUUGUAUUUCUUUCAAUACAAAUUUCCAAAGAAUUCAUUUCUUCAGUCAAUAUAUGGAGAAACAAAGUAAAUGUCAUAAAACUUGAACUAAACAAUGAAAGUUUAUCAAAAUAGCCUGAAUUAUUUUACCAUGUAUGUACAUUUUUCAAAUUUUCAGCUUAAGAACUUCUGCAAUUGUCUGAAACUCAAUGAAUGAUUAAUGCGAUACUGGUAAUAGUAAUUUUAACACCUUGAAAAUCAAAAUUGGUAUAUUAAGAUUGCUUUCCAUUUUAUAACAAAUUUAGCUGCAUGAUUUCUAUUGCAAUAUUUUUUGGUUAAUCAAUAAAUUUGAAUAGAAAACAAGUAUUUUUACAUACAACAAUAUCUGUCUAUUUAAAAGAAAAAUUGCCACUCAAAUAUUUAAACAUUACGUAAUUCAUAUAUUUUAACACUACUUAAUAACUUUGAAUUGUCAACAAAUGAAAUAUUAUUUUAUUCCUUUUACAGGUGUGUUCCUGCUGCUGCCUUGUGUGUUCAAUCCUGUGGACAAUAAUAAUCAUGCAAACCACAUAUAUGUUGCAUUUUUGUUUAUUAAAAUCCUUAAGUGAUAAUUCUGAAAGCCAAAUGAUUAAUUUUUUAAUGCUAUUAUUUAUUUUCCAUUUACUGUAAACUCACAAAUUUUUGUUUUUUAAUGCUGUUAUUUAUUUUCCAAUUAUUGAAAAUUCACAGAUUUUUGAUAUAUUUUUUUUACUGAAAAUUGCUACACCGAGAUAGAUUUUGCAAAAAUAAAAUUAUAUUUUAAAUUUUGAUAGCAUUAUUUAUUUGCAACAUGUCCUUAAUGACAAUAAUUAAUUUAAAUAAAUGCUUGCAAAUUUUUUUUGAAUUUACAGUAUAAAUAUGUUUUCAUUAUUUAUAUAUGCAUGAUAUUAUUAUACAUUGUAUUUUGCUUUAUAAUAAACCAAAUUGUAUAA